AGAAAGCAGGAAGCGGGCCGCAGCCAACGUGCGGCGCCCGCACCGCUCGCGGCUCUUGAAAAAAAGAGAAGGGGAGAAGAAACAAGAAGAAUGCGAGAAGAGAGAGGAAAGAAGGAUACAGCUGCAUGCAAAGCGCAAAGCGCGUAGCGUGGAGUCGAAACACCAGUAACUCAUUGUGUGUGUUUAUUUGAGGUUUGCGUUAGGAGAGCGCAUUGGGGAGAGGUGGGCGGUGGGGUGGGGUUGUUUGCAAGUGGUCUCCAACACCCCAGCAGUUAGAAAGAGAGUUGAAAACAUCUGGCGAAAUCCCUUUGCAGCCCGGGAACUGCUGGGGAACCCGGAAGGCGUGCGUUGCGCCCCUGCUACCUCAGCGGCUCCAGCGUUCGGGAUCCUAUCCGAGAUUAAGAGAAAGGGAGUGCUUCCCUUUGUGGGGGGAAGGAGGGGUGCGCGCAGGGUUGGGGGGGUGUUUCAACUUGUCAGAAUUCCUUGGUCCAAUAUCCCAAGAACUUUUGUGCCAACUUCACUCUGAUUCGCCGCCCCUGCCCCUCCCUGGGCCCCUGACCCGGCGCUGACUCUAGGCUGAGCGCAGUGGCGAGGAGAUUCGGAGCACCCCAGCAGUUGCGCCAAAGACAAGAGCCCCAUCCAUAUGGGGUCGAGGAUGUGCGGUUUUCGUGGUGAAGAGGAAAGAAUGAAGUUGAAGGGAUAGAUAAACACGUGCACUGAAUCCCCAGUAAAUUCCCUAACGGUUCCAAGCAGCCUCUGUGGCCACAGGAUGGCAGGAGGGCCCAGCAGGCCCGGGCGCAGUCGCUGUCUACUGCUGCCUGCGAAGGGCCCGCCAGAGUUCCAGAAGGAGGACGCCGAACCCACAGUCUCUGAGCCACUGGGGGCCUCCCCUAGUCUCUGCCCUCCCCCUCGCCUUCCACAGGGCUGUCCCCAUUGCUGCCUGCCGGCGCUCCGCAGUCAAGGGCGGCCUGUGUGCCGACCCGGAGCGCUUUCACCUCCCGGAGCGGCAGCAGAUCCCGGGGGCGGCUGCUGUGCUCCCUGGGGCCUGCUCCCGAGGCGCGCGCAGCCGGCCCGCGGGCGAGGGGGAGGAGAGGGCGGGAGCAUGGGGGUGCGACCCCAAAUCACAUCGGCUUGGCGGGGGAGGAUUCCCUCCUCGGUGGCCGCGUGGGCGCGGUGAAUCCCUCGUCCCCUCCUGGGGAGUCGGGGUUGGGGGAACGUGCAUUUCUCGGGGGGAGUGGGAGUGUUGACAAGGAAGAAGAGAGGAUCCCCGGGCCUCACGCCGUGGGAGGGCCACGCGGGCCGGGGACGUGUGGGAGGAACUCCCGAGCUGCACGUUGUGGUGGAGGUGGAUGACAACCUCGCUCCCCUCCCCUCCCCUCCACUCAGUGGAGGGCUGGGGACCGGAGGGCCCGGCCUCCCCCCAUCUUCUCCAGUUCUUAGGAAAGGAGGGAUUCCCGCCUCCCGCGAGCCCCCUCUCUCCACCCCCGCCGCCUCUCCCGCCAGGCUCCCCACUCCUAUACUAGGGAGCCACAGCGCCCCCCGGGCUGUCCUCCGCCAGCGCGGCUCAGGGAGGGAGAGCGCUGCAGCGGUCCCGCGCUCCGGUCAGAAUCAGGGCAGGCUGCGCCUCCCGCCCCCGGCUCCCUCCCUUAGGGGGGGCGCGCGGCCGGUCGGGGGGCGUGGGCGGCGGUGUGAGCCGGGCUAGGUGCGGGAGGGGCCCGGGCGGCUGCGGGGAGGGUCGCAGGGCGGCGGGCCAAGCCGGGAAGAGCCAUACAAGGAGCGGAUCCGGUGACGCGCCGGCCGCGCCCCUUCUCCUUCUCGAUUUGGCUGCAGAUUCCGGUCCCAAGAUUUGCAUAUUUUGGCAUCCAGUGGAAAAGGAAAGAAGAACGGAACCCGCAGCCUUUAAAGGAACCGCACAGGCUGUAGCGUCACCCAGGGAGGCGGUGGGGGUGGGGGUGGGGGCCUGAAAAAUUAGCCAGCGGCUCUGGCCUCUGGCCGUAGAGCCCGGCAGCAGGGAGGGCCAGGGAGGGGCGGCAACCAGCGAGCUUCGGGCGCGCCAGUCCCAGACCUGGCCCCUCCAGAGUGCUUCCUGCUGCGCGUGCACCCGGAGGCUGCGGAGGGUCUCCACGGGUUCCUGCCUGGGGCCGGGAGACGCUGUGGGGUCCGCGGUCCUGGGCGAGCUGCAGGCCCGAAGGCUGCAGUGCCCAUGUCUCCCCGCGCGAGGCAGAGCUCAGCCUGCGGGGGUGGUGGGAAGGAAGUGAGAGGCCUCCGGGCCGCCCAGCUCAACUCCGGAGGACCCCACCGUGAUGCACCCACUUUCCACCUGUCAGGAUCUCUCCCCAGGAGGGGCUGCAGAGUGAGGAGCUAGAAGCCCUUAUCCUGUUCGACUGGGGCCUGAGUUGGGAAAGGCAGAGGCAGUGGAAGCAUUUGGGAUCCUUAAGCUUCCAGGGCCCCAGAGGCUGUGGAGUGCAGCCACUCCCAACUGGAGGAGACGGCCUCUCUCCCAACACUUUUCGGCACGCUGGACUUGUUGCUUCCAAGUAGAAGAGCAUGGGGCAAGGUUUGCUGACCUGCACCAGGGCUUGCUUACCCGUCAGCAAGAUUGGAUAGGAGUCUGGGGACACGAUUCCUUCCCUCUCCUUUCUACUAGUUCUUUGCAUAAAACGGGAGCCUUCAAUUCAAUUAAAGUCUUCAUUAAAGCUUCACUGUGACCUUGGGCAAACGUCUGUUUUUUUUUUCUUAGCCUCAGUUUCCUUGUCUGUAAAUUGGGAUAAUAGUAUCUACCCCUUAGGAAUAAUUAAAUUAGAUAAUCCUCAUAGAGUACUUGCCAGUCCCUUAAGCAAGCACCCGAUAAACUGCAAUUGUUGUUAAACUAUUCUUCCCCACCCAGCCUUGUGACAGAUAUGCCCUUCCCUCUCGUGUGUGGCAGGAGUAAAUUUAGAUGAUAUAGGUAGUAAAAAAGGCCAGGUAUGGAACUCCAUCACAGACCAGCGUGAUCAUAUGCAAGAAGUAUUAAUAAUGUUGAUUAUUUAGGGGGGGAAACGAAAUCUGUGUGCCUAGUAUCUCCUGGGCACUGUCCCAAUCCAGGGAUGGUUAAGGAAUGGUCCCCGGUCUGAAGGAGCCCAGACAUGAACUGAGCUGAGCCCUCAACAGCUGGUGGUGACACAAGGCAGGGUUCAAAGAAGUCACUCAGUUGCUCUCUAACACUCUGGAGCAGCCUUUCAGACAUCUUUUGGGGGUGGUGUGGCUCCUGGAAUGGGAGGGAGCCUUCUUUCCUCUGCUGGAAGGAACCAUGCUGGCGAAUGCCUGCCCUACAAGGUUAGGCCCUCAGUGCCCAGUGCCUGUUCAGGUUGCAGCCUGCAAAGAUGUCCCCUGUCAUCCUCGAUGAUGGUGGCAGAUGGAGUCCAGGGUUCUGUGGCAGGAGGGGACAACCCUGGGUGUGGAGCAGGAGUGGGGUGUUGGAGUGGCUGCUUUGUAAAUGAAUUCUCCCUUCCGGUUGCCAAGCCUUAGAAUAGAAAAAAGUUUUCCUCCUUCCCUUCCUCCCUCCUGGUUUCCUCCCUCCUGGUUUCCUCUCUCCCUCCUGAACAGGAGCUGAAGGUGUUUGUCUGUUUUAUUGGCGGGCUCAGGUGAGAUUGCCAAGGGCCUAAUUACCUGAACUCUAAGCCCUGAACUUGCUGGGGAGCGAGUAGGCACUGAUUCAGGGCGUCCUCAUCCUGGAGAUGGUGAAAGGCAGGCCGGCUCCUCUGCAGCAGAGCCAGGGCUGCCAGCCCCUGGCCGCUCUCUCCUAUGGAGUCCAACUCAUCAGCUGCACUUAUGGGGA
rnacentral:lncRNA from 1 species